rnacentral:rRNA from 1 species
UACGGAGGAUGCGAGCGUUAUCCGGAUUUAUUGGGUUUAAAGGGUGCGCAGGCGGCACGGCAAGCCGGCGGUCAAAUCGCGGGGCUCACCCCCGCCCAGCCGUCGGAACUGCCGGGCUAGAGUGGGCGAGAAGUGCGCGGAAUGCGUGGUGUAGCGGUGAAAUGCAUAGAUAUCACGCAGAACUCCGAUUGCGAAGGCAGCGCACCGGCGCCCUACUGACGCUCAGGCACGAAAGCGUGGGUAUCGAACAGG